rnacentral:lncRNA from 1 species
GCUGCUCACUCUGCACACCUUCCACGUCUCCAUAUGGCGAUUCCAUUUGUAUUUGUCAGGCAUAAUUCAAAUCCACUUCGCAGGUACGAAAUGUAUUUUCGUACCCGCACCGAUCGCAACACGGGAGAUGGAGAGGGGACUAGAGGCGGUGUCGUCUGCUGUCGCCGCUUCCACAUUUUAUUGCAAAUUAAUAAUGCACACGAGGCUGAGGCGUCAUGUUGUUGCUGCUGCUGCUGGUUCGGGGCAUGUCAAUUGUGUCUAGAGGAGAACUGGCCACAGCUCCUGCCUCGGAUGUGGUUGUGGAUGGGGCACUCGCACGAUGAUGAUUUCCAACCAGCAAAAGUUUUGAUUAACUAACUGCUGGGGGCAGCCAAUUAAUUUGGCCAAGAGGCGCGAUCGCGAGUACAAAACUGCGGAGAUUUCUCUUUUCUCUGGCGCUGUCUCCUCAUUAAUUAAAGAACAUGGAAUCGGGCGACAAACUGC